AUGCUCACCUUGCCGCGCCGCCUUACUGCUUCUGCACCAUCCUCAGGUUCUACUGGUCAGAUGUCUGGUCCACCACCGCACUCUUCUUCAAGUACAUCUUUGCCUUGGAUUCUUGAUUCUGGGGCCUCCUUCCACAUGACACCACAUAGAGAUCACCUUUGUGCUGUCAACUUUGUGCCUUCUCCACUUACGGUUCAGACUGCGGAUGACACUUCUCUUCCUAUUGCCGCAAGAGGGACUCUUUCCAUGUGUUCUUUUCAUGUCCCUGCCGUUUCCCAUGUUCCUAAACUAACUAUGCAACUUCUAUCUGCUGGUCAACUUACUGACUUGGGUUGUCGUGUUAUUUUGGAUUCUGACUCUUGUUGUGUUUAG
rnacentral:rRNA from 1 species